rnacentral:rRNA from 1 species
ACGGGGAGCAGCAGGCGCGAAACCUCUGCAAUAGGCGAAAGUUUGACAGGGUUACUCUGAGUGAUUUCCGUUAAGGAGAUCUUUUGGCACCUCUAAAAAUGGUGCAGAAUAAGGGGUGGGCAAGUCUGGUGUCAGCCGCCGCGGUAAUACCAGCACCACGAGUGGUCGGGACGUUUAUUGGGCCUAAAGCAUCCGUAGCCGGUUCCACAAGUCUUCCGUUAAAUCCACCUGCUCAACAGAUGGGCUGCGGAAGAUACUAUGGAGCUAGGAGGCGGGAGAGGCAAGCGGUACUUAGUGGGUAGGGGUAAAAUCCGUUGAUCCACUGAAGACCACCAGUGGCGAAGGCGGCUUGCCAGAACGCGCUCGACGGUGAGGGAUGAAAGCUGGGGGAGCAAACCGGAUUAGAUACCCGGGUAGUCCCAGCUGUAAACGAUGCAGACUCGGUGAUGAAUAGGCUUCGUGCCUAUUCAGUGCCGCAGGGAAGCCGUUAAGUCUGCCGCCUGGGGAGUACGAUCGCAGAUUGAGACUUAAAGGAAUUGGCGGGGGAGCAC